UGGUUGAAAUGAUAUGAAGAACUUGUUCAGAUUUGAUUUUCAACAUUGCAAUGAGUGGCGAACGGGUGAGUAACACGUGGGAAACCUACCUCUUAGCAGGGGAUAACAUUUGGAAACAAAUGCUAAUACCGUAUAAUAAUUAAAACCGCAUGGUUUUAGUUUAAAAGAUGGUCUUGCUAUCACUAAGAGAUGGUCCCGCGGUGUAUUAGUUAGUUGGUGAGGUAAUGGCUCACCAAGACAAUGAUACAUAGCCGAGUUGAGAGACUGACCGGCCACAAUGGGACUGAGACACGGCCCAUACUCCUACGGGAGGCAGCAGUAGGGAAUCUUCCACAAUGGACGAAAGUCUGAUGGAGCAACGCCGCGUGUGUGAUGAAGGGUUUCGGCUCGUAAAACACUGUUGUAAGAGAAGAAUGACAUUGAGAGUAACUGUUCAAUGUGUGACGGUAUCUUACCAGAAAGGAACGGCUAAAUACGUGCCAGCAGCCGCGGUAAUACGUAUGUUCCAAGCGUUAUCCGGAUUUAUUGGGCGUAAAGCGAGCGCAGACGGUUAUUUAAGUCUGAAGUGAAAGCCCUCGGCUCAACCGAGGAAUUGCUUUGGAAACUGGAUAACUUGAGUGCAGUA
rnacentral:rRNA from 1 species